GACAGAGUUAGGGAGGGAGUGACUAGUGACAGAGAGAGGGAUGGGGUGACUAGUGACAGUCACCCCCUCCCUCACUCUGUCACUAGUCACUCCCUCCCUCUGUCACUAG